UUGAACCUUUAGUCCAUGUCUCUAGAGCUAGUGCUUUUCCCAUUGUACUAUUCUGCACAUGCAUACACAUUCUCUGUCUCUAUUGCUUUCUCUCUUUCUCUUUCUCUUUCUCUCUGUCUCUCUGCCUCUGUCUCUGUCUUUCUCUCUGUGUGUGUAUGUGUGUGUGUGUGUAUGUAUAUUUCUGUCUCUAUAUUUAUCUCUAUCUCUGUCUCUGUCUCUCAUUUUGGGGGUGGGGGAGGAAUCAGACCUAUAAUACCAUUUAUGUUAGAAACAUUCAGUACAAAAACUCUUUUCAAUGAUGUGGAUCUUCAUUUUAUGUAUAAUGUAAAGUAUUAGAGAGUUGCUUGUAGUAUUUGGAGGUUAAAUGGCUUGCCCAUAGUUAGUUACAUGUUUUGUGUGAAUGUAGUACUUGUAUUCAAGACUUCUUGAUCCCAAGGCAGUCCAUCACUACACCAUACUACCUUUCUGCCACAAGAUAAUUAUAAUCCUAAUAGGUUAUUAUAAUAGCAUAUGUUUUAUUUAUUGAAAGAGAAGUGCAUACAUUGAUAAUAUGAAAUGGGUUUUGAAUUCACAUUCAUUUCAUAUCAUCACACAUUUAGAAUCACUGAACCAGACAUUAGAAGGUACCUUAGAGAUUAUCUCGUCUAGCUUCUUCAUUUAACAUGAAAGAAAUGGAGCUCAGAGAUAUGACAGGACCUGCCCAAAAUCACACAAGUACUAAGUAACAGAGCUGGAAUUGAAACCAAAUCCUUGGAUUUCAAUUUGUGGAACCCCUUUCCUCCUCCUCACCACUAUCCCUCUGUUUCCCUGCUGUAUUAUUCUGUUUAUUAUUAUUGUUGUUGUUGUUAUUAUAGACUUAGAAUUAAAUGGAAAAUAGAUAUAGAUACAAUAUAUUCUGUCUCCCUGUGGGUGUGGAUGUGGGUACAUGGGGUGUUUCAGAGAGUUCUAGCCCCUCUUGUAUGAGAGCUUGUCAAAACCUUUUCAGGGCUACUGUGACAAGGAAAUCACUUUAAAAGCCUGAUAUAUAUUAAUUUAAGGUUGCCAAGGAAUUCAGCUAUGUAAUUCCUAAAUAAAAACUCAAGUCAGCAGUCAACCUUUUAUGGAGUUUAAUUACAAACAGGAGGAAGAAAGGUAUUAGAGAUAGAGAGAGAGAGGGAGAGAGAAAGGGGAGAGAAGGGAAUAGGGCUUAAAUACCCCCUCUGUUUAGGCUGGGCCAAAAGGCCCAAGCCCUUAGAUAGCUGAGGCAAAGGAAAGAGAUCAGUCCCUAUCACUCACGUGACCAAAAUGGAGAAACAGUCUCAGGGGCCUCCACCUCCAGCUUCCUUCAGAGCAAGCUUCUCAGAGCACCUCUCCAACCAACCACCCACUAGCCCUCAGACCCCGCUAUCUUUAAGGAAACCAUCCAAGUUCCCUCCCCUCAGUUCUCACAUCUACCAAUCACUGUCCAUGUCUUCCCUGUGCCAAUUGUGGCUCUACCUUAACCCAGGACCUCCCAGAGGACUGUGGCUUUGCACAUGUCUGUUGAAGGUCAUAUUCUCAAAUAAUUAAAUCUUGAUCCUUUGCUACAGCCCUUCCUAAUUCCUGUUACCCUGAGUAGGGUGGAGAGUGGAAUAAUUAAAUUUUGAUCUAUGCUGCAGCCCUUUCCAUUGUUCAGCAAAAGGUUUCUGUCCUAAAGUAAUCUUAAGAAGGGAGGAGGAGGAACCUCCCUUGCCAAUGGGGUUCACAUUCCAAUGGUGAAAUUUCCAACAUUCACAAGUCUAAGAAAUUUUAAGGUUUACACUACUCAUCCACCUUUGGUGUCAACCUUUGACCCAGCUCCUGGAUCCUCUCUUUUAACCUUUGUCUCCUCUCUCACCAGGCAGGUUAAACCAGGUUGAGGAUAAUUGAUAGGACUUGAACCUGUCAGGUGAAUUAAGGCAAUGUCUACCCUAAGCAUGUGAAGACUUCCCUAGGGGAAUGGUGGAUGAGAACUAUUUGUUCCAAUGUCCUUGGAGUCUCUUUCUAAAGCAGGGGCCAUGGAGAACUUAGAGGUUGGUGAGACCUUAAAGCCACUAUGUUAUCCACUGAUUCAUGGGCCAUCACUAGGCAUCCUGACACAUCUUGUCACUGGAUAUGAGCACCUCUACAAGAGAGAGUAAGGCUGAUGACUUUGUGAAACUGCCUCACUUCAAUCAAGUUCAUACAUUCUUCAGGAAGAAGCAUUUGCGUGCACUGGAGGCUGAAUCCUAGACUUUUUUUUCUUCACAUUUUCUGCAAGGAAGUGGGUCUAAUAAAAAGGAGGAGCCUGCAGGAGGACAGAAGUCUACAUGAGAAGAGGCUGAAGGUAUCAUAUCAAGUCCCACCAGAUUUGAGAGACUUAAAGACUUUGGGGAAAUGGGGUAGUAUUUUGAUUGUUAGAUUUUGCCAAAGGCAGACUGCCUGCCUUUCUGACUCAAAUUGUCAAUGUGCCAUUGGCAUUGGGAAAUGCCCCCAAAUGCCAAUUACCAGUAUCUGUACCCUAGGUUUUCCCACCAUUAGCGAUGGAGCCCAACCCCAUAUAGCAUUACUCAUUUGUCCAUAUAUUUGGUCAAUGAUGUUUAGUCCUGAACAAAAGAGGGGUGAGUCAAUGUGGAAAUCUUGAAGUCGCCAGUUUAUUUAGUCGGGAGGUAGAAACCACAGGAUUUGACCUUGUUACUGGAGAGUUUCCCCCACUACGGGAAGGUCCUACCCCCAUAAUGCAGCUUCUUAGAGAGUAAGAUUAGAGCUGGGUGGGAGGUAGACUCUAAAGGAGAAGGUAGUCCUGAAAGGGGUUCAGGCCAGCCCUGAUUCCGGAGAUGCUAGUCUUCCCUGAACACCUUAUUUAUGUGCCAAAUAUCCUGUUAAUUACUGUAUUACCUGCAAUACUUGACUCACAAGUACUUUGUGAAACAGGGAAUGCAAUACAAUGAUCACUCCCCAAAGUGGAGUCUAAAACAAAGAAUUUAAGUGACUCAGUAAUUCUUAAAAGAUUUCAGACUCAAAUUCAGUUCUUUUGAUUCCAAGUCUGAGCUCUUUCCCCAAAGUCAUGUUGCCCCUUGUUAGAAAGAGAUUACAUAGGAACCAGGAAUACAGGGGACUGUGUUUAUUUUUGUUGGGCUCAGAUAAAAACUUAGGACCCCCAUAAAUCGCAAUUUAAGAGGAGCAUUCCUUCCGGGAAGUCAGGCAGAACAGGAUGCCCCUAAGCCCCUUAUCAGUAACAGCCUGGUGACCCUUAUUAGCCAGUAGCUGUAAUUGGAAAACUGUUCUCUACACCUAUAGAACAGAAUAUAAACCCUGCAUCAACCCCGAGGCGGGGUCCAGACUUGUACUUUUGGUCCUGGACCCUAACUUGAACUAGCAAUAAAGUUUCCCUUGUGAUUA